CCCGCCGCGCCGUGGGGGAGGGGCGGGGCGGGCCGCGAGAGACCCGGGGAAACAUGGCUGCUCGUCCUAGUUCGGCGUCGCGGCGUGGCCACCAGCCGCCGGAACAGAGUUGGGAGAGGCUCCGAAGAGGCUCCCGCGCCGGCGGAAUUCAAUCAAUAAACCCCGAACCCACGGCCGCGCGUUUUAGGACUUUGAAGGCUCAACCAGCUCCGCUCGGUUCUCGAGCCCCCAGCACCCGCAGCGCACACUAACCUGAUCGCCGUGGAGGCGGGACCUGCGGCCCCGAGGACGAGUGGCAGCAGCCAGAGCCAAUCAUCGCCGAGGGUCUCCGGGCAACAGCCCAUGGUGGCGGCGGCGGGGGGGAAGGGACCAAUGGGCGGGCUGCGCAGCCGGCCAGGGAGGCUCAGCCAUUUGGUUGUGGUGCCGGAGACGGACCCCUUUAGAUUUCGGGGCGGCCGAGGAGCGCGGUGGCUGCUCGGUGGCUGAGCGAGGGGGGUGGGCGGAAUGGCGGGGGAAGGGAAGGUGACUGUGCCUCGAGGGCCGAGCCUCCCGGUCGCGCCAGUCCGCCGCCGCCUCAGCGUUUGGCCGGGGGCGGGGCCGCAGGAGAUAAAUGGAAAGGGAAGCAAGCAGAGUGGGAACCUCACACCACCUGGAAAGCAGCACCAGGAGCAGAAUGUGUCCUUUGGACCCGGGGUUCCUGCAUGGAGAAGCUCUUAGUCCAGGGUAAGAUUGAUGAUAAGAACCUUCCUCCAGAGUGGCCAGAGAAAGCCUUCCCCUGGAAAAGACACCCUGAAUUUGGACUUGUAGCCUACUGGACUGUGAGAGAAUAAACUUCUCUGUGUUGAAGCCAUCCACCUGUGGUAUUUCUGUUAUAGCAGCACUAGAUGACUAAGACAAGCCUCAAGGAAGAAAGAUGGUUCUCAAGUUAGAAAAGAUAUCUUUCUGUCUUGCAGAAUAUUUCCCAUCAAGAACCAUUCCAAACAAAUGAGCAGCCUAUCUUGUACUCAAAGAGGGAUGAGGAAUGGGUGUCCUUAGCCUAUCUUGAUAAGUGUUAGAAAGUAUUGUUUUAUAAAUACCCACAUCAUUGCUGCUGCCAUGUUGGCUCAAUUGCCCUUGUUUGGUCUCUAAAGACGGAGACCCUCUACUGAGCAUCCUUUCCAUGAGUGAGGUUAACGUAUUCACCAUUCAGCUUUUUGUUCAGCUUGAAUCACAUACACUGGAACCUGGCCAUUGUAUUCUUUUACCUACAUCAUGGUUCUGCUGCUUAGACCCCAAAAACAAUGAUAUGGGAAGACUCCAGCUUAAUUAUGUUCUCCUUUGUGUUUCUAUAUAAAUAGCUUUUAGAAAUAUAUUCUUUUGAAAUCCAGGGUAACAAAUGUGAAGACUACUGCAUUUUGAUAUGAAUAGCAAAGGAAUGUUGAGGCCCAGGAUCUAAAAAGUUACUUAUUCUUAAUUUUCUUGUACUUAACAAAGCAUUGGAUGGAUUUUUUUUUUUAAUUGUGCUUUAAAUUUUUUUUAAAUGAAAGUUUACAAAUCAAGUCCGUCUCUCAUACAAAAAGUUAUACACACCUUGCUAUGUAUUCCUAGCCGCUCUCCCCCUAAUGAGACAGCACGUUCCUCCUCUCUACCCUGUUUUCCCUGUGUCUGGAUAUUUUUUAAAAAUAAUAAUAAAAAUUAAAUAGUUACCUUAUCAUGGAGAAAGACUGCUGUUGCAUGAACACAGUCACUAUAUGUAUGUGAUUUAAAAAUUAAAUUAAUAGUAAGAAUCUUAUAAGCAGCUUACAGACGGUUUAUGGGGGGGGGGGAUAACUGUUUUGCCUGCACACUUGUUGGAGAAUCACUAGAAAUGUUGUAAAUCAGUUUCUCAAAUAUAUUUAUUAAUUUUAAUUUGGGGUCAGCAAUAAAAGGAAAAUUUGCUUACUACUCACCAGGAAGAAGACAAGAGCUAUAAGCUGUAAUUUUUAGUAUCAGAAUAAGGCUUUAAAGGAAAAAAGUCAACACAUUAAGGACAAAUAAUGGAAUAAAGAGCCAUAGAAUGAGACCGACUAAAGGCGAUCUAGGUUGAAAAAUAGAAUUGCAAUUAAUUUAGAGUCUAUUUGUUUUAAUCCUUGUGGGGUUGACGUUUAUGAAGAAAAGCGUACUAAAACCUAUUAAAUAGGAAAAGGUAGAGAACAGACUUCCUAAAAACUUUUAAUAUAUUUGCUGUUUGCAAAUGCCAUUUAUCAGUUCAAGUAUACUCAGUAAAGUUGUCCUCCCAGAGUACUUAGUAAUGGCAGUUACUGUUUAUACCUAUAAGUAAUAAUCUAUUUAAAAACAUAUAUUCUAUAACUCGUCUUGAAUUAGAGCUCAAUUUAUUGCAUUCUGAGAAAUCAGUAAAAUGUGUAUAUAUUUCUAGUUGAAAGAUUAGGUCUUUUCAGGAGAGCAUGCCUCCCUCCCAGUCUUUCUCUGGAAAGAUUAGGUCUUUUCAGGAGAGUAUGCCUCCCUCCCAGUCUUUCUCUGGAAAGAUUAGGUCUUUUCAGGAGAGUAUGCCUCCCUCCCAGUCUUUCUCUGGAAAGAUUAGGUCUUUUCAGGAGAGUAUGCCUCCCUCCCAGUCUUUCUCUGGAAAGAUUAGGUCUUUUCAGGAGAGCAUGCUUCUGUCCCAGUCUUUCUCUGGAAGCCCUGGGUCCUAGCAACAUGAGUAUAAAUGUGUCGAAUUCAUUUGGGUAUGACCAAAUGAGAGAGCCAUGUCAGGUGCCUGAGGACUCUGAUCUGGCAGGGGGAACACAGGUUUUACUCUGCUAGAUUGAUACUCUGACUCGCUUCGCCUGAAACCAUUUUAUAUGCCUUCUAGUGUGUUCGAAUUGUAUCACUUCUACAUAUAUUUAUUCAAAGGCAACUUAAGUGUGACAAAAAUACUUACGCUAGGCUGGACCAACUUAGUCUAUGUUCAUGAGUAGAAGCAAUGCUAUAGAUAAGAGCAAAUGCAGGACACAGGUGUGAAAAGAUAGGUAACCGUGCUGAUCAUAGUAUUAUAGCACUGUCUGUAAUAGUGAAAGGAGGGAAGGAGGGAGGAUCAUUCAUAUGCACAGAAAAAAAUCUGGGAGAGUAUACACCACAAGGGGUGAUGAAGUUACAGUGCUUUUUUUUCUCCUUUCUUUUUGCUUGUCUAUAUCUUCUAAGUUCUUUCAGUUAAUAUAUAAUUUUCCCAAUUAAAAAAUGAGUGAUUUUUAAUGGAAAACAAUAGGUAUAGCUGACAUUCUGGGUCUUUAUGCUAGUCAAGAAUUCUUGGUUCCAGGACAACAGAAACUUACCCUGACCAAUGUAAGCAGAACACAAUUUCUUGUAGAGCAAUCACAGAAGCAAAGAACGAGGUUCAGGAAAUAAGCAGGAACCAGGAAGCUGGGUAGCCUAGCCUAGAACACAGGCAAGAUGACCGCCCAGACAGAGUCUGCAGAGGACCCCGCCCCUUGGAAGUCAUCUCUAUGCCACGGACUCUGCAUUCCACCACUGCUGCAAAUGAUGGCUUUCUCAGGAUCCUGCUUUUCCCACCACUCCCUUAAGGAUCAGAGCCCGUGGCAGGGGUAUUUUUUAGAUGCCCUAGCUGUUAGGGAAAAAGAUGAUCUGCCUCCUUUAGUGUCCACAGUGGGAUGUGUGACCCUGCCUUCUACCUGUUUUAGUAUUCUGCCCAAAUAGUGUUCUCAUACUAGGUGGCCACUAAAGUGUUCUAAUUAAACCACACUAUUUUAUGAAAGGUUUCCUAAGGAGCACUGAUGGCACAAUGGUUAAGUGCUCAGUUGCUAACCAAAAGGCUGGAGGAUCGAACACACCAGUGGCUCCACAGGAGAAAAGACCUGGCAAUCUGCUCCCAUAAAAAGGAAACCAAACCCACUACUGUCGAGUCAUUUCUGACUCAUAGCAACCCUACAGGACAGAGUAGAACUGCCCCAUAAGGUUUCCAAGGCUGUACAUUUUUAUGGAAGCAGACUGCCACAUCUAUCUCCUGCGGAGCAGCUGGUGGGUUCAAACCGCAGACCUUUCAGUUAGCAGCCGAGCAUUUUACCCAUAAAGAUUACAUACAGCCUUGGAAACCCUAUGGGGCAGUUCUCCUCUGUCCUCUAGGGUAGCUAUGAGUCAGAAUUAACCUGAUGGCACACACGACAACAACAUGAAGGUUUCCUACCCAUCUAGCUUACCCCCACCUUAGCUCCUCAACUGCUCCCUACUACUUACCAGGACAAGGCUGCAUCAUCCACUGAGGAUCAAUCUAAAGCAAAGCUAAUAUUUGAAAUCCUUAAUUUCUUUAAAAUGCUUCCCUUUCCAAAUCCUAAACCAGAAGAAACAAUAUAUUAUUGUCGAUGUCAAUGAAGUACUUAACGAAGCACAGCUGACAAUAACCUUAAGCCUUUGAGAAGAAGGAUCCCCAACAGAGACAUUUGAUUUUAAAUUAGAAGGAAUUUAGUCCUAAGGGACACGAUAAAGACAGGAAUAAUCUCCAUUUUAUGUUGCAUGAAUAAAUGCAGAGAUCUCUAGAUACCAAGUGAUGUAAGAUCUUGAGUAGCGAGGGAUUAUUGCCAAUGGGUUUCUAUUUGCUAUUCUUUGUUCAGGCUCAAGUGUAGACCUAAGCUGAAAGGUAUGAGGUUUGUAGUAAGUUUACUGGAAGGAGGCAAGUGGUCACAGGCCAAGGGAAGGAAAAAAGGGUACAGAGCAAGAUGCAGUUACUUCAAGGACAAUUUAAGAGAACAAAAAACGCUGAUGGUGAAAGAAGUGCAAAAACCACGAACACAUCAAAGGGGUCCACAUCCCUACCAACAAAGAAGAAGGCUGCAAAGGAUUCACCUUUAGAAAACAUGAUUAACGUUGGGACAUGGUUCUCUUCUCUCUUGACCUCAUCAUUUCAGGUCAAUUAGCUUAGAUUGCUUUUCAGCUAGAAAAAGCAAAUGAUACCCUUGCAAAGACUCUGAACACUGUUAUAGGGGAAUUCAACUGUUUGCUAGCUUUAUUUUUGCUACUAUUAAAGCAUGGUUUAACUGUUACAUGACUGGAAGUUCUUAUUAAUUGCAAUGACUGUCUUUCCAGAGAAGCAGCGCUACAGGUUCUGUUCAUUGAUACACAAAGUGCUCUUCCUGACCACAUGUUUUACUAAUUAGAGCUUCACAUUUUCUCAGAUGAUUUAGUGCAAAUCAUGGCAGACUGCUAACUCUUCAACAAAAUUCAUUCUCUCUUCUUCUUGGAUGCAAAGCUUGACUAGGCUUCCCAGUUGCCCUUGCAGAUAUAUGGGGCCAUGUGACUGAGUCCUAACUGGACUGUGAGUGGAAGUGAUGUUUGCCACUUUGAGGCCUGAAAUCUCCAACGCAUGCUGGCCAAGAUGCAAGAGACAGAGUGAUCUUAGAAGCCAUGUGUUCAUGAGGAUGGGGCCAACUUUGGCCUAGGUCCUGAAGGACAGCCAUUACACCAGCAUGUUCGCUUGUCCAUCAAAAGACAAACUGUAACCAAGAUAGAAAUUUUUAUGGUCCUGAACCCUGGUGUCAUAGUGGUUAAGGGCCAUGACUGCUAACCAAAAGGUUGGCAGUUCAAAUCCACCAGGUGCUCCUUGGAAACCCGAUGGGGCAGUUCUACUCUGUGCUAUGGGGUUGCUAUGAGUCAGAAUCAAGUUGACGCAAUGGGUUUGAUUUCUUUUGGGUUUUGGUGCCAUUACAUGUUUGGGUCUAUUUGCUACUGUAGCCUAAGCUAACAUACUAAUAAAGUUUUUUUCAGUCUUAGUUUUCUAUUCAUUUAUGAUUUUGAAGAUCAACUCUAGAUUUGAAAGGUUUAUUGUUGUGUUUGCAAUAUAUCUUUGUAUUACAGGUCCCCAGAGGCACCAAAAAACAGAGGUUAAAGAAUUAUAUUAAAUGACAAAUACUUAAUGAAGGAAAAACUAAUUGUAAGGAGUCUAUAGAAGUGACACGCAAAUAUAUCUCUUUCCCCCAAAUUUUAGGCUUGGCUUGUUGCAAGUGUAAAACAAAUGUCUGCUGUCUCUUACCAAUAAGUGAUCCUCCCUCCCUUUCUGAGUGACAGUUCAGUUGCCCGAUGGGCAUCUAUAAACAGUUGUCCUAGAGGAACAUCCACACAACAUUUUCAAAACCAAAACCAUCUCCUCUGUCAGCCUCUGCCUACUCUGACUCCAUCAAGCUACCAUCAUCCUCUUGACUCCAGUUUUUUAUCAGUAGCACCCUUAGAAUUGUCCUCUGAUGAUUCCCAUAACCAAUGGUUGGUUCAUUCUCUGCUCUUUUCCCCCAGAUAUCUUCCUUCUUUCACUGUUUUCCUAUUUUUACUACUCUAAUCUGAGAGUGGAAACCCUGGUGGCAUAGUGGUUAAGUGUUACGGCUGCUAACCAAGAGGUCAGCAGUUCGAAUCCGCCAGGCCCUCCUUGGAAACUCUAUGGGGAAGUUCUACUCUGUCCUGUAGGGUCGCUAUGAGUCGGAAUCAACUCGAUGGCAGCUGAGUUUUAAUCUGAGAGUAAGGAGCCCUGGUGGUGCAAUGGUUAAGCACUUAGCUACUAACCAAAAGGUUAGAGGUUUGAACCCCCCAGUGGCUACAUGGGAGAAAAGACCUGGCAAUCUACUCCCAUAAAGAUUACAGCCUAGGAAACGCUAUGGGGCAGCUCUACUCUGUCAUAUAGUACAGUCGUUAGGAGUUGGAAUCAACACGACAGCACACAAUGAGAGUGCCUGCACCAGCUCCAAACUCUCCGAUGUCUUAAUGAACCCAUGUGUCAGUUGUUCCCAAGCUUCUGUUUUUCUCAACAAUAACAUUUUAAAAAAAAAAUUGUACUGACCAUCAUAGAAUUGGCAACUUUUAAUUUUGCCAGAUAAAAACAUUCUUUAAAAAAAAAAACUAUCUUUUUUUUUUAUAGACUACUUUUGGUACUGUAAGGGAGACAACUUCAGAAUAUACAGCAGUCCUUUAUAUUAAAUAAAUCUGAUUUUAUGAAAACUCACUAUGUUGUCCUAGACUUUCUACUUAGGUGGCUGGAAACUCUUCUGUGGACCGGCACUGGCCCUGAGGCCCUGAUGUCCUCUUGUGGCCAGAUGAACAUGUCUGAGCUCUAGUCACAGUGCUCGUCUAAUCAACAACAGUCUUUGGUUCCUUGUGGUCUAUUCUCCUCUACCUGGCAUUUAAGCUCCCAAACAAAGAGACCCUACACUACUGUCUUAGUUAGCUAGUGCUGCUGUAACAGCACAAGUGGGUGGCUUUCACAAAGAGAAAUUUUUUCUUUCACAAUCUAGGAGGCUAGAUGUCCAAAUUCAGGGUGCCAGCUCCAGGGGAAGGCUUUCUCUCUCUGUUGACACUGGGAAAAGAUCCUUGUCAUCAAUCAUUCGCAGUAGGGGAGCUUCUCAGCACAGGGACCCCCGGCCCAAAGGAUGUGCCACUCUCCUAGCUGUUUCUUGGUGGUAUGAGAUCCCCAUGUCUCCCUGCUCACUUUGAUCUUUUAUAUCUCAAAACAGAUUGACUUAAGACACAAUUUAAUCUUGUAGAUCGAGUCCUGCCUCAUUAACACAACUACCCCCACCUCAUUAACAUCAUAGAGGUAGGAUUUACAACACACAGGAAAAUCACAUCAGGUGACAAAAUGGCAGACAAUCACACAAUACUAGGAAUCAUGGACAAGCGAAGUUGACACACAUUUGGGGGGACACAAUUCAAUCCAUAACAACUACAUUUCCAGUCUCAUUAUUAAUUUCCAGGCAAAUUAGACUCUCUGAUAUUCCCUUUUCUAUCUUUGUAUUCUUCCACCUUGUACACCCUUUCCAUUUUUCUCCACAAAUCAAAAUUCUAUCCAAAAUUAAGUCCAAAUUUGAUGUCACUUUCUAUGAAACCUUUUAUGAUCCAUUCUACCCGCCCAAACAUACUUCCUCUUCUUGAACUUUCAUAUCACAAUAAAGGAUAGCAAAUGGCUACUUACUUGCACUUACUAUAUUUAC